rnacentral:rRNA from 1 species
UAAGGAAUAUUGGUCAAUGGACGGAAGUCUGAACCAGCCAUGCCGCGUGGAGGAUGAAGGUCCUCUGGAUUGUAAACUUCUUUUAUAGGGGGCGAAAACGUAGAUUUCUAUUUACUCUGACGGUACCCUAUGAAUAAGCACCGGCUAACUCCGUGCCAGCAGCCGCGGUAAUACGGAGGGUGCAAGCGUUAUCCGGAUUCACUGGGUUUAAAGGGAGCGCAGGCGGGCAUGUAAGUCAGUGGUGAAAGCCUAGAGCUUAACUCUAGAACUGCCAUUGAUACUAUGUGUCUUGAAUAUUGUUGAGGUAUGCGGAAUGGGUCAUGUAGCGGUGAAAUGCAUAGAUAUGACCCGGAACACCAAUUGCGAAGGCAGCAUGCUAAACAAAGAUUGACGCUGAGGC